rnacentral:rRNA from 1 species
GACGGGGGGGGCAAGUGUUCUUCGGAAUGACUGGGCGUAAAGGGCACGUAGGCGGUGAAUCGGGUUGAAAGUGAAAGUCGCCAAAAAGUGGCGGAAUGCUCUCGAAACCAAUUCACUUGAGUGAGACAGAGGAGAGUGGAAUUUCGUGUGUAGGGGUGAAAUCCGUAAAUAUCAGGAGGAACACCGAUGGCGAAGGCGGCUCUCUAGUACGGUACUGACGCUGAGACGCGAAAGCGUGGGGAGCGAACAGG